AGCAGCCGCGGUAAUUCCAGCUCCAAUAGCGUAUAUUAAAGUUGUUGCAGUUAAAAAGCUCGUAGUUGAAUUUCGGGGUCAGUAGAUUGGUCAUGCCUCCGGUAUGCACUGGUCUUACUGGCUCCUCCUUCCUGAUGAACCGUAAUGCCAUUAAUUUGGUGUUGCGGGGAGACUGGACUGUUACUUUGAAAAAUUGAGUGUUUAAAGCAGGCUAACGCUUGAAUACAUUAGCAUGGAAUAAUGAAAUAGGACGUUCGAUCUUAUUUUGUUGGUUUCUAAGAUUGACGUAAUGAUUAAUAGGGAUAGUUGGGGGCAUUAGUAUUCAAUUGUCAGAGGUGAAAUUCUUGGAUUUAUUGAAGACUAACUACUGCGAAAGCAUUUGCCAAGGAUGUU
rnacentral:rRNA from 1 species